GCGGUUAGGAGCUUACACCCACCCGUGUUUACAUACUAUUGUUGCUUUGGCGGGCCGUGGCCUCCACUGCGGGCUCUGCUCGUGUGUGCCCGCCAGAGGACCAAACUCUGAAUGUUAGUGAUGUCUGAGUACUAUCUAAUAGUUAAAACUUUCAACAACGGAUCUCUUGGUUCUGGCAUCGAUGAAGAACGCAGCGAAAUGCGAUAAGUAAUGUGAAUUGCAGAAUUCAGUGAAUCAUCGAAUCUUUGAACGCACAUUGCGCCCUGUGGUAUUCCGCAGGGCAUGCCUGUUCGAGCGUCAUUUAACCACUCACGCCUAGCGUGGUAUUGGGGCACGCGGUCUCGCGGCCCUCAAAAUUAGUGGCGGCGCCGGUGGGCUCUAAGCGUAGUACAUACUCCCGCUAUAGAGUUCCCCCGGUGGCUCGCCAGAACCCCCAAUUUUUUACAGGUUGACCUCGGAUCAGGUAGGGAUACCCGCUGAACUUAAGCAUAUCAAUAAGC
rnacentral:rRNA from 1 species